AGACGGAGGGCGCAAGCGUUGUUCGGAAUCACUGGGCAUAAAGAGUACGUAGGCGGUCUGCUAAGUCAGAUGUGAAAGCCCUGGGCUUAACCCGGGAACUGCAUUUGAUACUGGCAGACUUGAGGACAGCAGGGGUGAGUGGAACUUCAGGUGGAACGGUGAAAUGUGUAGAUAUCUGAAGGAACACCGGUGGCGAAAGCGGCUCACUGGGCUGUCUCUGACGCUGAGGUACGAAAGCUAGGGUAGCGAACGGGAUUAGAUACCCUAGUAGUCC
rnacentral:rRNA from 1 species